rnacentral:rRNA from 1 species
AUGGUUGACAAGGAAAAACAUGAUGCUAAGAAAAGCACAGACAAAUCAAAUAAGGAUGGAGCAGAAACUGAACAAAAAGGCACAAUGGAUAAAGGGGGCAAAGAUAGCUAUUCCGUCAACAAAGCCAUCGAAGACCUGUACAAUGUUGUAUGCAAGCCAUGGACAAAGAGAGAAAUGGAUCGGCUUUUCAUUACAACGGGCAAGUUUGAUGUAAAUCUAGGCCAUGUCUCUGAAAGCUUCAAGGUCGGUAAAUCAGUACGCACCGAAAUAAUCGAGCCCAUGCUAACAAUCUUGAGAAAACAACUCAAUGGCACACGGAGAAAGAUUCUGUUGUUAAGCAACACUUUCCUUCUACCAUGUUCGUUGUGCUGGUUUGAGCAAGACAAAAUUAUAAGUCAUUACUUCACCAUCACAGUUAACAUGCAAAAACAGCGCUUUGAACUCCUUGACUCUUCAACUGCAUAUCCAGGCACAAUAGAAUUCUUCAACAAUGUAACCAGCAAAUUAAUAAAACUCUGGAAGCACAUAAGCACAGAGCUAUAG